rnacentral:rRNA from 1 species
UAAUACGAAGGGUGCAAGCGUUAUUCGGAGUUACUGGGCGUAAAGAGCAUGUAGGCGGUUUGUUAAGUUAGUUGUUAAAUUCCAUGGCUUAACUGUGGAUCUGCAACUAAUACUGACGAGCUAGAGUAUAGAAGAGAGAAGUGGAAUUCCCGGAGUAGCGGUAAAAUGCGUAGAUCUCGGGAGGAACACCGGUUGCGAAGGCGGCUUCUUGGUCUAUUACUGACGCUAAAGUGCGAAAGCGUGGGGAGCAAACAGGAUUAGAUACCCUGGUAGUCCACGCUGUAAACGAUGGUCACUAGAUGUGGGCUGAGCUUAGCUUAGUCUGUGUCGAAGCUAACGCGUUAAGUGGCCCGCCUGAGUAGUACGGUCGCAAGAUUAAAACUUAAAUGAAUUGACGG